UGGGGAAUAUUGCACAAUGGGGGAAACCCUGAUGCAGCGACGCCGCGUGAACGAAGAAGGUAUUCGUAUCGUAAAGUUCUGUCCUAUGGGAAGAUAAUGACAGUACCAUAGAAGAAAGCUCCGGCUAAAUACGUGCCAGCAGCCGCGGUAAUACGUAUGGAGCGAGCGUUGUCCGGAAUUAUUUGCCGUAAAGGGUACGCAGGCGGUUUAAUAAGUCGAAUGUUAAAGAUCGGGGCUCAACCCCGCAAAGCAUUGGAAACUGAUAAACUUGAGUAGUGGAGAGGAAAGUGGAAUUCCUAGUGUAGUGGUGAAAUACGUAGAUAUUAGGAGGAAUACCAGUAGCGAAGGCGACUUUCUGGACACAAACUGACGCUGAGGUACGAAAGCGUGGGGAGCAAACAGG
rnacentral:rRNA from 1 species